rnacentral:rRNA from 1 species
GACGAACGCUGGCGGCGUGCCUAACACUUGCAAGUCGAACGGAGAAUCAGCAAUGAUUCUUAGUGGCGAACGGGUGAGCAACGCGUAGACAACCUGCCUUCUAGAUGGGGACAACACUGCGAAAGUGGUGCUAAUACCGAAUGUUGUAUUAUGCCGGCAUGGUCUUGAUACUACAGGUGGCCUCUAUCUAUAAGCUAUCACUAGAAGAUGGGUCUGGUUCUGAUUAGCUAGUUGGUGAGGUAAAGGCUCACCAAGGCGAUGAUCAGUAGCCGGUCUGAGAGGAUGAGCGGCCACACUGGGACUGAGACACAGCCCAGACUCCUACGGGAGGCAGCAGUGGGGAAUCUUCCGCAAUGGACGAAAGUCUGACGGAGCAACGCCGCGUGAGUGAAGAAGGUUUUCGGAUCGUAAAGCUCUGUCUUUGAGGACGAAUGUGUCUAAUGUGAAUAAUGUUAGAUAAUGACGGUACUCGAGGAGGAAGCCACGGCUAACUACGUGCCAGCCGCCGCAGUAA